CCUACGGGAGGCAGCAGUGAGGAAUAUUGGUCAAUGGACGAGAGUCUGAACCAGCCAAGUAGCGUGAAGGAUGACUGCCCUAUGGGUUGUAAACUUCUUUUAUAUGGGAAUAAAACGUUCCACGUGUGGGAUUUUGUAUGUACCAUAUGAAUAAGGAUCGGCUAACUCCGUGCCAGCAGCCGCGGUAAUACGGAGGAUCCGAGCGUUAUCCGGAUUUAUUGGGUUUAAAGGGAGCGUAGGUGGAUUGUUAAGUCAGUUGUGAAAGUUUGCGGCUCAACCGUAAAAUUGCAGUUGAAACUGGCAGUCUUGAGUACAGUAGAGGUGGGCGGAAUUCGUGGUGUAGCGGUGAAAUGCUUAGAUAUCACGAAGAACUCCGAUUGCGAAGGCAGUUCACUGGACUGCAACUGACAUUGAUGCUCGAAAGUGUGGGUAUCAAACAGGAUUAGAUACUCCUGUAGUC
rnacentral:rRNA from 1 species